GAAAAGCACCUGGAUAGCCUGAUGGGCAAAAUUGCCUUUCUGAAGAAAUUUCACUAAGAGGAGAUCCAUCCACUUGCAGGGGCAGAUCCAGUAUGUGCAGAUCUCCAUAGAGAUAAACAUGUUCACCAAUCUCAACCUCACCUCUUUGCUGGAGGUCAUCUGCCCACAGUAGGGAAAGAUGGCUGCCAAGAGCAUGCAGAGCAUGCAGAGGAGUGCUUUAAGAGCCCUUUAGACUGCUGAGCCAGAGCACUGUCAAGAGGGUCUAUGCCAUGCAAGGCACCAGAAACAAGGUGUCUCAGAGCCACUACCUGCUCAAGACCAAGAACUUGGAGAUCAAAGCAUGCUAGGGCAUGAAGGAAGUAAUGGAGAUAUAGCUGCAGGAGCCAAAGGACAAGUUGAACACCUACAUCAGUAGUGUGCAGGCCAUCAUCCACAAAUUAGAAAAUGAAUUGAAGAUGGCAAAGUUAAACAUCUGGAUACCUAAAUGAAUACCAAGUCCUCCAGGUGAAGAUGGCUCUUUGUAUUGAGGCUGCAGCUCAGAGGAAACCCUUCAAAGGCAAGGAGACCCAGCUGAGUUUCAGCAGCAUGGGAAGCACACUGCUUCCAGACCCCCUGGUCUUUGGUUUAUCACCUACUGGGGUUCACAUACCAACUCCUACAUGAUGUCCACCCACUCCUUCCUGUCCUACUACAGUAGCCAUGUGCAAGAGGAGUAGAUCAUGGUGGAGGAAUCCAUUGAGAGUGCUAAGAUUGAGGAAGGCAAAGACUAGUACCCCUCUGAAGAAAAAGCCUAGGAGGAGAAAGAUAAUAAAGAGGAGGAGGAAGAGGUGGCAGGGAAGAGGACUAAGCUGCUAAGGAAGUGUCUAAAGAAGCAAAGGAUAAAGAAGAAAUAGGUCAGGGUGAAGAAGGAGAGGAAAAGCUGAAGAGGAGGAAAAUAAAGUUGAAGGUGCUGGGGAAGAACAAGCAGGUAAGAAGAAAUAUUAA
rnacentral:lncRNA from 10 species